rnacentral:rRNA from 1 species
GUAGCUAAGUACGGAAGAGAUAAGCGCUGAAAGCAUCUAAGCGCCAAGCUCGUCCCAAGAUAAGAUUUCCAUGAGGGGCCAGGUAGACGACCUGGUUGAUAGGACAGGAGUGUAAGUGCAGCAAUGUAUUGAGCUAACUGUUACUAAUGACCCGAAAAGUUUGUAU